rnacentral:rRNA from 1 species
GGACCAAGGAGUCUAGCAUGUGCGCGAGUCAUUGGGAUUUUUACUAAACCUAAAGGCGCAAUGAAAGUGAAGGUCCGCCUUGCGCGGACCGAGGGAGGAUGGACCGUUCCGAGGGACGGCCUCGCACUCCCGGGGCGUCUCGUUCUCAUCGCGAGAAGAGGCGCACCCAGAGCGUACACGCUGGGACCCGAAAGAUGGUGAACUAUGCCUGGUCAGGACGAAGUCAGGGGAAACCCUGAUGGAGGUCCGUAGCGAUUCUGACGUGCAAAUCGAUCGUCGGAACUGGGUAUAGGGGCGAAAGACUAAUCGAACCAUCUAGUAGCUGGUUCCCUCCGAAGUUUCCCUCAGGAUAGCUGGCGCUCGCUUCUCGCGAGUCUCAUUCGGUAAAGCGAAUGAUUAGAGGCAUUGGGGUCGAAACGGCCUCAACCUAUUCUCAAACUUUAAAUGGGUGAGAUCUCCGGCUUGCUUGAACUGUGAAGCCGCGAGAUAUCGGAUCAGAGUGCCAAGUGGGCCACUUUUGGUAAGCAGAACUGGCGCUGUGGGAUGAACCAAACGCUGAGUUAAAGCGCCUAAAUCGACGCUUAUGGGAUACCAUGAAAGGCGUUGGUAACUUAAGACAGCAGGACGGUGGCCAUGGAAGUCGGA